CUGGGAGGACCAUCUCCUAAGGCUAAAUACUCUCUAGUGACCGAUAGUGAACCAGUACCGUGAGGGAAAGGUGAAAAGCACCCCGGAAGGGGAGUGAAAUAGAACCUGAAACCGUGUGCUUACAAGUAGUCAGAGCCCGUUAAUGGGUGAUGGCGUGCCUUUUGUAGAAUGAACCGGCGAGUUACGAUUUGAUGCAAGGUUAAGCAGUAAAUGUGGAGCCGUAGCGAAAGCGAGUCUGAAUAGGGCGUUUAGUAUUUGGUCGUAGACCCGAAACCAGGUGAUCUACCCUUGGUCAGGUUGAAGUUCAGGUAACACUGAAUGGAGGACCGAACCGACUUACGUUGAAAAGUGAGCGGAUGAACUGAGGGUAGCGGAGAAAUUCCAAUCGAACCUGGAGAUAGCUGGUUCUCUCCGAAAUAGCUUUAGGGCUAGCCUCAAGUGAUGAUUAUUGGAGGUAGAGCACUGUUUGGACGAGGGGCCCCUCUCGGGUUACCGAAUUCAGACAAACUCCGAAUGCCAAUUAAUUUAACUUGGGAGUCAGAACAUGGGUGAUAAGGUCCGUGUUCGAAAGGGAAACAGCCCAGACCACCAGCUAAGGUCCCAAAAUAUAUGUUAAGUGGAAAAGGAUGUGGCGUUGCCCAGACAACUAGGAUGUUGGCUUAGAAGCAGCCAUCAUUUAAAGAGUGCGUAAUAGCUCACUAGUCGAGUGACACUGCGCCGAAAAUGUACCGGGGCUAAACAUAUUACCGAAGCUGUGGAUUGUCCUUUGGACAAUGGUAGGAGAGCGUUCUAAGGGCGUUGAAGCAUGAUCGUAAGGACAUGUGGAGCGCUUAGAAGUGAGAAUGCCGGUGUGAGUAGCGAAAGACGGGUGAGAAUCCCGUCCACCGAUUGACUAAGGUUUCCAGAGGAAGGCUCGUCCGCUCUGGGUUAGUCGGGUCCUAAGCUGAG
rnacentral:rRNA from 1 species